rnacentral:rRNA from 1 species
CCUACGGGGGGCAGCAGUGGGGAAUAUUGCACAAUGGGGGAAACCCUGAUGCAGCAACGCCGCGUGAGCGAUGAAGGCCUUCGGGUCGUAAAGCUCUGUCCUAAGGGAAGAAUACUGACGGUACCUUAGGAGGAAGCCCCGGCUAACUACGUGCCAGCAGCCGCGGUAAUACGUAGGGGGCUAGCGUUAUCCGGAAUUACUGGGCGUAAAGGGUGCGUAGGCGGCCCUUUAAGUCAGAGGUGAAAGGCUACGGCUCAACCGUAGUAAGCCUUUGAAACUGUAGGGCUUGGGUGCAGGAGAGGAGAGUGGAAUUCCAAGUGUAGGGGGGAAAUGCGUAGAUAUUGGGGGGAACACCAGUGGGAAAGGCGGCUCUCUGGACUGUACCUGCCGCUGAGGAACGAAGCGUGGGGAGCGAACAGGAUUAGAUACCCCAGUAGUC